rnacentral:rRNA from 1 species
UCUUAGUGGCGGACGGGUGAGUAACGCGUGGGGAACCUGCCCUGUACAGGGGGAUAACACUUAGAAAUAGGUGCUAAUACCGCAUAACGGGAGGAGCCGCAUGGCUUUUUCCUGAAAACUCCGGUGGUACAGGAUGGGCCCGCGUCUGAUUAGCCAGUUGGCAGGGUAACGGCCUACCAAAGCGACGAUCAGUAGCCGGCCUGAGAGGGCGGACGGCCACACUGGGACUGAGACACGGCCCAGACUCCUACGGAAGGCAGCAG